rnacentral:rRNA from 1 species
AUGACUAAAGGAGCUGGUGAUUCUAACUGUCGCAUCGAAAACCUUUUCUUUGCGGAAGUCAAAUGUGUGCGACAAGGAAAAGAAGAGGAAAUGUUGGUCAGCUGCUUCCGCGUGAUUGAAUCUACCGAUAAUGGCUGGAGCAGCGACUCGGACGACGAAGAUAUGGAAGCUAAGAAAGAAAAGAUAAGAUUUAGUUUGACGGGCGUUGCUGAUCCAAAGUGUAUGAAGAUGUUCACGCUGCCUCCGAGUGCUUUCGACGACGACGAUGACUAA